AACGAACGCUGGCGGCAUGCCUAACACAUGCAAGUCGAACGAGACCUUCGGGUCUAGUGGCGCACGGGUGCGUAACGCGUGGGAACCUGCCCUUAGGUUCGGAAUAACUCCCCGAAAGGGGUGCUAAUACCGGAUAAUGUCUUCGGACCAAAGAUUUAUCGCCUUUGGAUGGGCCCGCGUUGGAUUAGCUAGUUGGUAGGGUAAAAGCCUACCAAGGCGACGAUCCAUAGCUGGUCUGAGAGGAUGAUCAGCCACACUGGGACUGAGACACGGCCCAGACUCCUACGGGAAGCAGCAGUGGGGAAUAUUGGACAAUGGGCGAAAGCCUGAUCCAGCAAUGCCGCGUGAGUGAUGAAGGCCUGAGGGUUGUAAAGCUCUUUUACCCGGGAUGAUAAUGACAGUACCGGGAGAAUAAGCUCCGGCUAACUACGUG
rnacentral:rRNA from 1 species